AGAGAUGUGUGAUGACGCAUAUCAAUAAGCGGAGGAAAAGGAAACUAACUAGGAUUCCCCUAGUAACGGCGAGUGAAGCGGGAAGAGCUCAAAUUUGAAAUCUUAAAGGGUUUCCCUUGACGAAUUGUAGUUUAAAGAAGUGUUUUCUGUUAGAGAGGUUCGGUAAAAGUUCUUUGGAAUAGGACAUCAUAGAGGGUGAGAAUCCCGUAUUUGACCGUUACUUUCCUAAGCUGUGCGAUACACUUUCAAAGAGUCGGAUUGUUUGGGAAUGCAGUCCAAAGAUGGGUGGUAAAUUUCAUCUAAAGCUAAAUAUUGGCGAGAGACCGAUAGCGAACAAGUACCGUGAGGGAAAGAUGAAAAGAACUUUGAAAAGAGAGUUAAACAGUACGUGAAAUUGUCAAAAGGGAAGCGUUUGACACCAGUGUUGUUUAGUUGAAAAUCAAUUCAAUAGUUUUUGAUUCUAAGUAGUAUUGACUUCAUCAGCUUGCUGCUUUCUUCUCAGAAAUUAUUGAAUGCACUUUUCAGUUAACAAGUCAACAUCAAUUUCUUUUGUUGUAAAAGGGUAAGAGGAAGGUGGCUUGCGCUUCGGCUCAAGUGUUUAUAGCCUUUUAUCUCUGCAAUCGGAGAGAUUGAGGUCUGCAGCGUAGAUCCUUCGGGGUUAGAUACAUUGGUGCUAAGUUAUAGCUUUUCAUAGACAACUUGUUGAUUAUGUUAAGUCUUGUAGCUUACUCGCUUGUGCUAUUUUACCUACGCUUAGGAGUUGACGCAUGAGAUAUACGC
rnacentral:rRNA from 1 species